UUGUCCUGCAUUCCUAUUCACUGCAAAACCACUGCCACUGCCAGAGGGAGAGAACAUGAAUUGUUGCUGCCGUGGAAGAAGCCAAGGCAUUUGGUGAGAGGUAGUCUGAACAAAAAACAUCUCUGUGACAAGUGUUUGCAAACACAUGCUAUGCGUGCUAGCGUGGGGAACACCUCACUGAUUGCUGUCAGCCUCUUUCCCCCUUUUUUCUAAAGUCCUGGGGGAGUCUGUUGCCUGCCUGACACAUGCUUUUGUGACUUCCUUGAACUGUUCUUUCAGAUUGUUUGCCAAAUCAUUGGACAAGUGAACUGCCACAAAGUACUAUGUGAAUGCUUUAAUACAGAAUGGAUAUUUUCAACUCUAAUGGAGGAACACUGGAAAACUA